rnacentral:rRNA from 1 species
GACGUAGGGGGCCAGCGUUGUUCGGAAUUACUGGGCGUAAAGGGUGCGUAGGCGGUCGUGCAAGUCGGAUGUGAAAUCUCAGGGCUCAACCCUGAAACUGCAUUCGAUACUGCGCGGCUAGAGUGCUGGAGGGGAGACUGGAAUUUACGGUGUAGCAGUGAAAUGCGUAGAUAUCGUAAGGAAGACCAGUGGCGAAGGCGAGUCUCUGGACAGCAACUGACGCUGAGGCACGAAGGCCAGGGGAGCAAACGGG